GCAUUAAUGGGGUAGUGGUAACCUGGGUCGUUGCCAACGAAUCGUGUAAUCGUCGAUUCGACCCGCCGGGGGUUCGAUUCCCUCUUAAUGCA